AAGGGCGGGGAGUCAACUGGAUACGACCCGAAACCGGAUGAUCUACGCAUGAGCAAGACGAAGCGUGGCGAAAGCCACGUGG
rnacentral:rRNA from 1 species